GACGAACGCUGGCGGCGUGCUUAACACAUGCAAGUCGAACGGAAAGGCCCUGCUUUUGUGGGGUGCUCGAGUGGCGAACGGGUGAGUAACACGUGAGUAACCUGCCCUUGACUUUGGGAUAACUUCAGGAAACUGGGGCUAAUACCGGAUAGGAGCUCCUGCUGCAUGGUGGGGGUUGGAAAGUUUCGGCGGUGGGGGAUGGACUCGCGGCUUAUCAGCUUGUUGGUGGGGUAGUGGCUUACCAAGGCUUUGACGGGUAGCCGGCCUGAGAGGGUGACCGGCCACAUUGGGACUGAGAUACGGCACAGACUCCUACGGGAGGCAGCAGUGGGGAAUAUUGCACAAUGGGCGGACGCCUGAUGCAGCAACGCCGCGUGCGGGAUGACGGCCUUCGGGUUGUAAACCGCUUUCGCCUGUGACGAAGCGUGAGUGACGGUAAUGGGUAAAGAAGCACCGGCUAACUACGUG
rnacentral:rRNA from 1 species